ACAAUUAUUCAGUUCCUCAGUGUGCGAGUGUGGCUUUUGGGGACAGUCUCCAGGAACUGAAAGGACUUCAAGCUGGGAAGAAGGGCAUCUUCGGUCCCCGGUGCUGCCCGGCUGUGCCUGGACACUCACACCCAGACACACCCAGACACACACCAGACAUGCCUCCUCCUCUCCUCCUCGGGAAGCCCUAGCCUUCUCCCUGAACACUCCUGGGGACCUGCCUGGGAAGUUUAAUCCAUCAACAACUGCAGCUGUAUGAACACAUUGUCUUUGAUGCAACACACAAUGGGUUCCAGAAAAGGAAAACAAAAUACUCUUUAAGAGUGUGCUGCAUUCUGUUUGGAAAUGGAGAGUCUGGGGUUUUCCUAGAUGGGCCAGAACAGGGGUGCUUGUUGCUGUGCCUCUGCUUCGCUUGGUGACUAGAGCUCCUUCCCCUGAGCAUAAAGAUUAAACUGGGGCUUUAGAAUGCACCGCUCCAGAGAGAGGUGGUGAACGAGCAAGGGAAGAUCAGAUUUGUUGGUGAGUCAUCAGCAUCUGAAGGAGGACAUGGCAACAGGUUCCUUCCCGUCAUCCAGCAGAAGGGAGUUAAGAAGAAAAGAAGUUGAGCUGCAGCAUGUCUCGGGUUAGACAUGAGGAGAGUUUUCCAGACUGAGGAAUGUUCGGCCCUGGAAGAGAUCACUGAUGGAGGAUGUGGAAACAUUGCUGAAGAGUGAAUGUGUCUGGCUUUUUACAUGUGGGGAGGAGGAGAACCCUGAAAUUCUAGGGAGCCCCUGGCUGCUUCCGUGGUGAUAACAGUGUUCUGUAUUGUUUGGAAAUUCCUCGUUGUCAGGCUCCCAGGCAUAACAUCUCUUCUUCAGCUGAACUCACUCAGGGUUGCCCUGAUUGGAGGGAGAGCACUGUUUUCAUUUUCUUUUGACCAAUUUCAGUCUCACCAGGCUCUUUCUAGUCUGUGCUUAGGAAAUGCCUCCCGGGGUCACCUCUUCCUUUCCUCCCCUCUCCUUCCGGUGGCACAGAACCAUGCAUUCCAGGGGCUGAACAAUGGCCAUUGAAGGUGUGUCUGGUCCAGUCAGUUUUUUUGUUCUCUUCAUUCAAUGACAUGUAUGUUUGCAGCAGCCAGGGCAGUCCUCCUCCACACGAGGGUGUUGUCAGCAAACCCAGGAAGUCUUGAGAGCCAAGAAAGCCUCAGACACAGGAGGAAGCAGUCAUGGAUCUCCACAGCAAACGUGUUCUCAGUCCACAGGAUGCGAGCAGGGGAAGGCUUCCGGCCUCAGAAGUCACAGAGGGUGUGAAAGCAAGAGUGGCUGCCCCAAGGCUAAAGGCCACCAGCCAGCCACAGCCAGCAGGGAUAUCAAUUCUUAAAAGCUGAACUGGUCACCAGAAAAUGGCUACCCAUUUUCUGAGGUACUUUGGAGGCACAAGGCCUCAAACAUCAGAAAUCUAUCAGAGAAUUUCAAGAAGGACUUUUUUCAUAAGCCACUGAGUUCACAUGCUAGAUAAUAUCGCUGUCCAUCUUGAUAGCUGGCUGACUUCAAAAGUUCCCUGACUUCACCAACUUUCCACUUAUGCAUUAAUAAAUUACUGCCUAGAUGUCAGCUUUCUCUCCAAGGUCUCAAGGUAUCUGGUUUGAAAAGAGCCAUGGGGAAUCUAAACAAACUA